GUGAGCGGCAAAAGCUCAAAUUUGAAAUCUGCGUAAGCCGAGUUGUAAUUUGAAGAUGGCUACUUUGGUAAUGGCUCUUGUCUAUGUUCCUUGGAACAGGACGUCACAGAGGGUGAGAAUCCCGUGCGAUGAGAUGUCCAUUACCGUGUAAAGUGCUUUCGAAGAGUCGAGUUGUUUGGGAAUGCAGCUCUAAGUGGGUGGUAAAUUCCAUCUAAAGCUAAAUAUUGGCGAGAGACCGAUAGCGAACAAGUACAGUGAUGGAAAGAUGAAAAGAACUUUGAAAAGAGAGUGAAAAAGUACGUGAAAUUGUUGAAAGGGAAGGGCUUGAGAUCAGACUUGGUAUUUUGUAUGGCUUGCUUUCGGGCGGGUCCUCUGCAGUUUACUGGGCCAGCAUCGGUUUGGGUGGCAGGAUAAUAGCAUUGGAAUGUGGCUCUACUUCGGUGGAGUGUUAUAGCCUUUGUUGAUACUGCCUGCCUAGACCGAGGACUGCGUCUUUUGACUAGGAUGCUGGCAUAAUGAUCCUAAGCCGCCCGUCUUGAAACACGGACCA
rnacentral:rRNA from 1 species